GGGAAAGUGGCUCAGUGGUAGAGUGCUUGCCUUGCAUGAAAGAGGCCCUGAGUUCAAUUCCUCAGCACCACCU
rfam:Dipodomys ordii contig_61026, whole genome shotgun sequence.